rnacentral:ncRNA from 2 species
UAAAAAUAACAUAAAAACACGGUCCGGUUGGUAGUCCGGAUGCGUUGAAUUGACCGGUGUCGUAUCCUUCCCCCUCGGGAUGUUCGUUGUUAGCUUUAGCAUAUA